AGCAUUAAACAGUAGCCUUGGAGGAAGGUUUUGGUGGGGAGGCUUUUGGAAGAUGUGACAAGCGAAAUAGAAAAUGAUACUUAAUUUUGAAGGCUUUGUGUUGGGCAACCGUAGAAUAUUUUGUGCUGAAAGUAGUAACUUUUCAAUAUGUUGAAUAUUUAAGACUAUUUGAAUACUUAAAGAACAUUUUGUUGUUGAUGACAGUGUUGAAUGUUUUAAACUAAUUUGUGGAUUGUUAAUACAAUGUUGAAUGUUUUUACU